AACGCACAUUGCGCCCCUUGGUAUUCCAUGGGGCAUGCCUGUUCGAGCGUCAUUUGUACCCUCAAGCUAUGCUUGGUGUUGGGUGUUUGUCCUCUCCUCUGCGAUUGGACUCGCCUUAAAGACAUUGGCAGCCAGUGUAUUGGUCUUGAAGCGCAGCACAUUUUGCGACUCUUGCUGAUUAUCACUUGCAUCCAGUAAGCCUAUUUUAACACUUUUGACCUCGGAUCAGGUAGGGAUACCCGCUGAACUUAA
rnacentral:misc_RNA from 2 species